rnacentral:rRNA from 1 species
AACGAACGCUGGCGGCAGGCUUAACACAUGCAAGUCGAACGGUCAUAGCAGUAUGUCAGUGGCAGACGGGUGAGUAACACGUGGGAACCUUCCUAGAGGUACGGAACAACGCAGGGAAACUUGUGCUAAUACCGUAUACGCUCGAGAGAGGAAAGAUUUAUCGCCUUUAGACGGGCCCGCGUAGGAUUAGGUAGUUGGUGAGGUAACGGCUCACCAAGCCUACGAUCCUUAGCUGAUCUGAGAGGAUGAUCAGCCACACUGGGACUGAGACACGGCCCAGACUCCUACGGGAGGCAGCAGUGGGGAAUCUUGGACAAUGGGCGCAAGCCUGAUCCAGCCAUGCCGCGUGAGUGAAGAAGGCCUUCGGGUUGUAAAGCUCUUUUACCAGGGACGAUAAUGACGGUACCUGGAGAAUAAGCCCCGGCUAACUUCGUGCCAGCCGCCGCAGUAACAC